GUCCACGCCGUAAACGAUGGGCACUAGGUGUGGGAGGUGUCGACUCCUCCCGUGCCGUCGCUAACGCACUAAGUGCCCCGCCUGGGGAGUACGGCCGCAAGGCUAAAACUCAAAGGAAUUGACGGGGGCCCGCACAAGCAGCGGAGCAUGUGGUUUAAUUCGACGCAACGCGAAUAACCUUACCUGGGCUUGACAUGUUGGUGACCACCGUGGAAACACGGUUUUCCUCGGGACACCAUCACAGGUGGUGCAUGGCUGUCGU
rnacentral:rRNA from 1 species